rnacentral:lncRNA from 1 species
CAGAUGAAUGACCCGGAAAGGGAGUUGGGGGCAGGACAGGGCAGGGCAGGGCAGGGUGCCGGGGUGGGGGACAGCUGGGUGUAACUAAGGGAAUUACUUCCAGAGCAGCCCCUCCUCCCACCCGCUCACUUCCAAUUCCCACCCCAACCGCACGUGUCCCCAGCACCGGGAGGGCACGGGGCGGGGCCAAGCCGCGGAGAGAAGCGGAAGGCAGGGACCCCCUAAAGCCGGAAAAGCAUGCGAACCCCGGAGGCUUACAAAAAGCUCUGGUCCCUGUACGCUGGAGAGCCGCAGACCACCGGUUCCAGCCCGCACUCCGGGCGGCCCUCCCACCUCUCCGCUCAUCUGGGCCACUCCCUCACCAUGCCAGCCCGCACUAAUCAAGCCCUCUGGGUACUUUGCUGGAGUUCUUUCCCACCGUUCAGGACGCCCUUCUCACCAAGCAGUCCUUUGCCAGCUGCCACAGGAAUCCAAGUGCACAGCUUUUCCCGCCAAAACCUGCUUGCGUCAUGCUGUCGCAAAAGCGCACACCUUUGCCGUAAAGUGGGCCGGCGCGCGUUGUCCUAUCCCGAGCUCUACCGAGGAGCAAUUUCGGUAGACUGACCGAGCAAGGGCCCCUCCUUCAAGUACUGGGCGUGCUUGGUUGGAGUUCUGAUGCGGCCGC